CUUUAGACGGGGGACGAAGCUGUCAAGUUGUAAUUUACUUCCUCUUUCGAUUUACUAAAUGGGAACGGCAGGGCACAAAUACCAGAGAGUUCCCGUUUCCGAAACGGGUUCAACAGGGGACAUGAGGAUCAGACGCUAUGUUUGCAAAUGUUUCCAAGACUGCUUGGAGUGCAUUGCGUUUAUUUGUUGCUGUGGACGGUUGACAAAACUCUGGAAAUAUUUAAAUAAACGCUAUGCCAAGUCCAACAAACCUUCCUACAAUGAGGAAAAUGGAGAACUACAAUCUAUCAAGUCUGAAAGUGGCUUGGCCAAUUUCGAAAUAGUUAGUAUGCAGGUACAACUGGAUCAGAAAGACAAUGAGAUACAUGAUCUAAAAGACAACGUUCGAAAACUUUCACAAGAAAAACGUCAGGCAGAGAUGGAAAAGCAAGAUGCUCUAACUAGAUUGAGCGAGGUUAUCUCAGUAAAGCUCAGGGACAACAAUCCAAAUAUCGCGGAUUUAAACGAUCCUAACAGACCCACAAAGCUGGCUGAGAUGUUCAGUGAGCUGUACGACAAUGAAUGGACUGCCCUUUACACAGUAUUGGAGAAAUCUGAAGUCAAGGACAAACAAAUAAUAGAUUUCCUUCUCGAUGUUUUUAUGGUAAAACUAUACAAACGAAUUAACUUGAAUGAGCACCGAGAUGAACAUUUAUUAAUGUACUUGUAAGAAGAAACAUACUUACGUUCAGAAGCGUUGCUUUCAACUUGGCAUCAACACAGUUUUAUAAACAAUAUUUUGUGUGUUUUUUUAGGAAUCAUUUACAUUUUGCAAAACGGAAUUUGAUACCAACUGGCAGUUAGUUACAGGAUGGUAUUUGGACGAGAAUUUGCCCAACAGCCAAGCUUUGAAAAAGGCGUUAAAAGAUGGCAGGAAGGCAAUGGUUCCUCGACUCCUUACUGAAAUUGAAAAGAGAUUUGAUACCUAUCUUUGUGGUUUCUGCAAGAACGCAAGUAUCCGGCCUGUUUUGACAAGUUGUGAAAUGAAAGAGUACGUAUCCAGUUGCGUAAAGUUGAGUUUGCUGAUGAACGCGAGCGAUCUACCGAUAGUCGUUGACUGUCCUGGCUGGGUGCCAUGCACACCAGACUACCAUUUGAAACAGGAUGAACACUCUGGUGUAUUUAGACAAGUAACUGUCAACGCCGAAGGUGAUGAGAGCAAAACGAAAAGUACAUUGGAUCUUAAAGAUAGGCUGGAUUUCAACAAAGAACUGUUCAAAGAAUACACUGUUCGAGGGAAAUACGUCGAGUUUUUCGUGUGGCCAGUGAUGUAUCUACACGAUAACGGUCCGGUGUUGACCAAGGGAAUUGCUCAAUGUGCCGAAGACAAAAUGGUAUCAGAUGAUGAUCAUCGAUGGGAGUGGAGGCAGUCGACCGAUAUCGUAUAAACAAUAUGACUAAUUGGUAGAUACUUAUUGACCCAAGAUAAGCAUACACAUUGUAAAUAAAUAUUGAAAGGAGAUGAUGAUAGAAUAUGUAUCUUUACAACUUUGAAGACGUAUGUGAAUGUGGCUGGCACAAUAUAGUUUCACAAAAUCUUUACAGACUAAAUCCAUAUGAUUGAAUAGUUGUCUUGUAUCAUUUGAGACAUACUAGAACCACAUUAAUGACUUGGUUCAUCUAAAAUUAUUAAAGAAAAGUACUUUCAAUGUGACAAAACUUGACUUGUAUGCUUACUUAAUCAAUAAACGCUGAAUACGUGUUCUUAAAAUGCUUUAUCGUUUACAUGAAAACUGGUUUUAAACAAAAGACGAUAACUCAUUUGUAGUAAACAUUAGAGUAUCCUUCGUAGUACGAGGGGUUUCCAAACAAAACGUUGACAAUAUGUAGAUCAGAAGAAUGUGGCGUCUUGAUUCAACACAACCAAUAGUCAUUGGUAUGUCGAAACGUGGAAGGUCGUCUCAAUGGCAAUGUCCUUUAACGUUGCUCAGCCCAAAUUGUUAUUUUUAAUUAUAUUUGAUUGCAUAAACACUUUAGUAACUUCCAUGUGUAUAUUAAGAUUUCCUUGCUUGUGAAUGCAAGCGAUCCACCCGUAUUUCUUGAGUGAUGUAGGUGGAAACCGAUUAAGGAGCGAAAAACUGUGAUGAAAGAAGAAGGUAGCGAAUAUUCUUGAUCACCUAUUCAACAAAGUGAACUUACUGAAAGAGAUAAACAGCCUUUUGAAGCAGGCAAAAAAAUAUGCCGUUAUACAUUAAUGCAUAAUCCACAUGAACAAACAGCAUACUUGAUAAUAACGAUAUGCUAAAAGACGGCCACACUUUGUUUCCCUUCGAUAGUGCAGAAGCAAAUCGAGGGAGGAGAGAAACGUUUGAAAAGAAUGUAUACAAGGACUAUACAAAGAAGUCAAUAUGUGGAGUUUUCUGUUUGGCCGGCAAUGUUUUUAAAGGCCAGAUUCUGAGCAAAGGCAUAGUUCAGGGAUUAAAUUGCAACAUGUUUGAAAUCAGUUACAAUGGUUUGGUGGAAAUAUGUUCAAAUGAAUCAGCAUACGUUUAAACUAAAUAAUGAACACUACACGGUCACGCCAUGUAGCGUAAUUAUUAGUCAAGAUUGUGUUUACCACCAAAAGAACAACAACAAAACACAACAAACAAAGAAAGAACAUUACACAACAUUAAAUAAUCGUCAAUGGUAAAUGUUUAGGUAUACACAUUGGUGAAAACUGAGUAAGAGCUCUAUAUUGGUGAUAAAAUCAUAUUUGUGAACUUCCAAUACACAGACACGAAAAAACUAUUAUUGUGUAUGUUAAAUUACUUGCAACAUCAAGUUUACCAAUUACAGUGUUUUACGCUAUAUCUAGCCGUUGUCUUAUAACAGGUUGAUACACAUCAUGUUAGCCAUCCAUUUCAAUAUUAUUAGAUCCAGAUGUUUUCAUUUCUUUGACUCGUAGUUGUGCGUCAUAUGAUACCCAAAUCGUUAUUAUCAACGAUUUCAGUUUACAUUACAAAAAUGUACUUAUUAUA